rnacentral:rRNA from 1 species
AGAGUUUGAUCAUGGCUCAGAACGAACGCUGGCGGCAGGCUUAACACAUGCAAGUCGAACGCACCUUUCGGGGUGAGUGGCAGACGGGUGAGUAACGCGUGGGAACGUGCCCUUCAGUUCGGAAUAACCCAGGGAAACUUGGGCUAAUACCGGAUACGUGCGAGAGCAGAAAGAUUUAUCGCUGAAGGAUCGGCCCGCGUCUGAUUAGCUAGUUGGUGGGGUAAUGGCCCACCAAGGCGACGAUCAGUAGCUGGUCUGAGAGGAUGAUCAGCCACAUUGGGACUGAGACACGGCCCAAACUCCUACGGGAGGCAGCAGUGGGGAAUAUUGGACAAUGGGCGCAAGCCUGAUCCAGCCAUGGCCGCGUGAGUGAUGACGGCCUUAGGGUUGUAAAGCUCUUUCGUCCGGGACGAUAAUGACGGUACCGGAAGAAGAAGCCCCGGCUAACUUCGUGCCAGCAGCCGCGGUAAUACGAAGGGGGCUAGCGUUGUUCGGAAUCACUGGGCGUAAAGGGCGCGUAGGCGGCUUUGUAAGUCGGGGGUGAAAGCCUGUGGCUCAACCACAGAAUUGCCUUCGAUACUGCAUGGCUUGAGACCGGAAGAGGUUAGUGGAACUGCGAGUGUAGAGGUGAAAUUCGUAGAUAUUCGCAAGAACACCAGUGGCGAAGGCGGCUGACUGGUCCGGAUCUGACGCUGAGGCGCGAAAGCG